rnacentral:rRNA from 1 species
UGGGGAAUCUUCCGCAAUGGACGAAAGUCUGACGGAGCAACGCCGCGUGAGUGAAGAAGGUUUUCGGAUCGUAAAACUCUGUCUUUUGGGGCGAACGUGAGUAUGGUGAACAAUCAUAGUCAGUGACGGUACCAAAGGAGGAAGCCACGGCUAACUACGUGCCAGCAGCCGCGGUAAUACGUAGGUGGCAAGCGUUGUCCGGAAUUAUUGGGCGUAAAGAGCGCGUAGGCGGGAUAGUCAGUCUGUUGUAAAGUGCGGGGCUCAACCCCGUGAUGGCAAUGGAAACAGCUAUUCUUGAGUGCAGGAGAGGAAAGUGGAAUUCCCAGUGUAGCGGUGAAAUGCGUAGAUAUUGGGAGGAACACCAGUGGCGAAGGCGACUUUCUGGACUGUGUCUGACGCUGAGGCGCGAAAGCCAGGGGGAGCGAACGGGAUUAGAUACCCCCGGUAGUCCUGGCCGUAAACGAUGGGUACUAGGUGUGGGAGGUAUCGACCCCCUUCCGUGCCGGAGUUAANGCAAAUAAGUACCCCCGCCUGGGGAGUACGGUCGCAAGACUGAAACUU